rnacentral:rRNA from 1 species
UACAGAGGUCUCAACCGUUGUUCGGAUUCACUGGGCGUAAAGGGUGCGUAGGUGGUGAGGUAAGUCGGAUGUGAAAGCUCGGAGCUCAACUCCGAAAUGGCAUUGGAAACUACCUUGCUCGAGGGUUGGAGGGGGGACUGGAAUGCUUGGUGUAGCGGUGGAAUGCGCAGAUAUCAGGAGGAACACCUAUUGCGAAGGCAGCUCGCUGGGACGUAACUGACGCUGAGACGCGAAAGCGUGGGGGAGCGAACAGG